GCCGGGCGUGGUGGCGCGCACCUGUAGUCCCAGCUACUUGGGAGGCUGAGGCUGGAGGAUCGCUUGAGCCCAGAAGCUCAGGGCUGCAGUGCGCUAUGCCGAUCGGUGUCCGCACUAAGUUCGCCAUCAAUAUGGUGACCUCCUGGGAGCGGGGGGGGACCACCAGGUUGCCUAAGGAGGGGUGAGCCCGCCCAGGUCGGAACAACAAAAAAAAGUCCACUGGGAGUCGUGCAGCGGAUUAAGCGCAGGUGGCACAAAGCACAAGGCCCCGCAUGAGAAUCCCGGUUCGAGCCCCCGGCUCCC
rnacentral:SRP_RNA from 1 species